rnacentral:rRNA from 1 species
UAAGACAGAGGGUGCGAACGUUGUUCGGAAUCACUGGGCAUAAAGCGCACGUAGGCGGCUGGGUCCGUCCGAUGUGAAAGCCCCCGGCUCAACCGGGGAAUUGCAUCGGAUACCGCCCGGCUCGAGGAUGGUUGGGGUGAGUGGAACUCCUGGUGGAGCGGUGAAAUGCGUAGAUAUCAGGAGGAACACCGGUGGCGAAAGCGGCUCACUGGACCAUCUCUGACGCUAAGGUGCGAAAGCUAGGGGAGCAAACGGGAUUAGAUACCCCGGUAGUCCUAGCCGUAAACGAUGGGCACUGGGUAGGGGGGAUGCCUAUGCGCUUCCCUGCCGUAGCUAAUGUGUUAAGUGCCCCGCCUGGGGAGUACGCUCGCAAGGGUA